rnacentral:tRNA from 1 species
CGGGGCGUGGCGCAGCCCGGCUAGCGCGCUUGCAUGGGGUGCAAGAGGUCCCGGGUUCGAAUCCCGGCGCCCCGACUA